UAGAUGGACAAUAUUAAGAUUUAAGAGAACAGCUACUAAGCAGGGUCAGGCCUGGUUAGUACUUGGAUGGGAGACCACUUGGGAAUAUGAGGUGCUCUUCUGC
rnacentral:rRNA from 1 species